GCGCCCGUAGCUCAAUGGACAGAGCAGUCGGUUUCUACCCGAUCGGUUGGGGGUUCGAGUCCUCCCGGGCGCG
rnacentral:tRNA from 1 species